AUUGAACGCUGGCGGCAUGCUUUACACAUGCAAGUCGAACGGCAGCGCGGGCUUCGGCCUGGCGGCGAGUGGCGAACGGGUGAGUAAUACAUCGGAACGUGCCCAGUAGUGGGGGAUAGCUCGGCGAAAGCCGGAUUAAUAUCGCAUACGACCUGAGGGUGAAAGCGGGGGAUCUUCGGACCUCGCGCUAUUGGAGCGGCCGAUGGCAGAUUAGCUCGCUGGUGGGGUAAAGGCCUACCAAGGCGACGAUCUGUAGCUGGUCUGAGAGGACGACCAGCCACACUGGGACUGAGACACGGCCCAGACUCCUACGGGAGGCAGCAGUGGGGAAUUUUGGACAAUGGGCGAAAGCCUGAUCGAGCAAUGCCGCGUGUGUGAUGAAGGCCUUCGGGUUGUAAAGCACUGUUAGCGGGAACGAAAAGGACUGUGCCAAUACCACGGUUCGAUGACGGUACCCGCAGAAUAAGCACCGGCUAACUACGUG
rnacentral:rRNA from 1 species